GCAACAGGCAUUUCACAACACUGCACCACCAAUAGAUCGCAAUCGGUCAUCAGCUGGUUAUUGAUUGCACAAUUCACAUAAAGCAGACGAUUUAUUCAAAAUUAUUUACAAACUUUACAAAAAGCAUAUGAAAAGCAAGCAGUUUCCCUGAAGGCGAACGGCUUACAGGACCUAUUUUGCAUAGAUAAAGCAACUGUUCCGCACGCCCACGCCCACACACACACACACACAUACACACGCCCACACACACACGCACGCACACACACAUACAGAAUCGCAUUCAAAUUUAGUCAAAUGAUUUUGUACUCAAGCGUCGCAACGGACACUCAACAGAGCCAUAAAAUCAAGUUGAGCUGGAAAGGCAAAUCGCAGCAAGUCGAAGCAGCAAAUACCCUACAAUCGAGAUAUCAUGGUCACUGGAGAAGCAUAGAGAACUUUCAAGACCCGCUGCCUUUUCCGUUUGCUCAACCGUUCGCCCAACAUGGAAUGCCUGCCUUCAACUGGAUAUCUAACGGGCUAUGCCCACUCAACCUCAGAGUAUUUACAGGCUGUAAUAAGAGCGUAGCCCGAAACGUUUCGAUGUACCAAAGCAAGGAGGGGACGACUGAUUCGACCGAAGGACUUUAUUUCUCUACAUACAUAUAUUUGUAUAUGUAUCUGUGUGUGUGUGUGUAUAUAUAUUGCCGGCCUUUGUGUUUCAGACGGAAAUCGUGGCUGGGCAGAGAGAGAGAGAGAGAGAGAGAGAGAGAGGUGAGACAGACAAACAGGGAGAGAGCGAGAGCGAACUAUAGAGGGAGAGUGAGGACGAAGUUGUUUGCCCUGGUGUUGAGAAGUUUGCGUUUACUUUUUUGUCAUGCGGCAAGCGCGGCAUGUGGCAUGAGGCGUGCGGCAUGCGGCGUGCGGCAUGUGGCAUGAGGCAUGUGGCAUGAGGCAAGUAUGUGUAGGUGGCCGUGGGGGCGUGCAAGGGGCGAGGCAAGUGACAUUGAUGAAACGGGCCGUAGAACAUUAGCCAAAUACUGCAGAAAUUUUGCACUAGACUCUGUUUACAUGGGGGUGACUAGCUAUACACAGUUGUGUAUGUGUGUGUGUGUGUGUGUGUGUGUGGGUGGGUGGGUGUUGGGUGAGUGAGUGGUUGGUAUGGGUGUCUGAAGCAACAGAAGUCGUACAAGGACAAAAUUGCGAAAGCAACUCAAAAGCAAAUGGAGAAGCAACAGCGAAACCCAAAGGAGUGUCACAGAAUACUCUGACAACGGCUCCAACUGACUUCAAAGCCCGCCAGGUGGGCGUAUCUGGUGGGCGUAACAUAAUGACAACUGUACUAGACAUACACAUACAUAUACACAUAUAAAUAUAAAUAUAAAGCUAUAUACAUAUUUAGACAUACUCAAAAGGCUGAGCUAUAAGUGAGAUAUUCAAUUUCCUGUUGGGCGGAAAUCGAAUCAAAUGAUAUCCAAAGCUAUAUAAUGUAACAUAUAUAAUAUACACAUAUUUAUACAUAUACACUCAUGAUGAAAAUAA